GACAGAGGAAGAAGACGACGAUCAGGUUGUAUCCACCACCCUGAUGAAAACAAAGCUCGGUGGUGACAGCUGUGAUGGCUCCUCUGUUCACGUGUAACCAACAGUGAAUGUGGAUCUCCGCUGAACUCUGCACAUCGGCAGACAGAACAAGGGAAACAGCACAGAGAAAAAACUUGUUCCACUUUGAAGUCACUCUGAUCUACUAAAUCGGAUCUACAGUGGCCACUGCUCAGUUGAUUGAUCGUUGGGUUUUGUCUGCCAGCAUCAGAGGGGACAGACAACUCCUCCACCGACAGCAUGAGUGAGCUAACAGACUUUGUCAGGGGCCAAAUUGUUGGUGCCCAGGUGGCAGGUCUGUCGGUGAGAGAAACUGCGCAGCUCUGUGACGUGUCGGGAAGAACUGUCCUCAAAGUCAUGAGUGUCUACAAUACGCACGGACAUACUGCAUCAGCAAAGAAGAACAGCAAGCGCAAGCCCAAGAGGAAAACGAAAAGGCGGACAAAAGCUGGAGUCGAGGAAGGAGCUGCCAUCGGAAAACUAACGUCUGACUCCAAGAUAGACUCACAAGACCCUGAGGCUGAUAGUGAGAAACCUGAAUCCCAAACAAAAGACAAGGAGUAAUAUGGCUGUGUUUCAGACUUUCGGGUACAUUUAGACUGGUUGAUGUUUGCAUUAAGCCACAAAAUGCCUUGAUCUAAACCACAAUAUUGCUUACUUUAAACAUACAUUUUAAAUUUUUUGGGUAAGGCUUGGAUAUGAGCCUGUUCUGUCAGCUUUUGUACAUUUCAAGGCUUUCUUCGAGUUUCCCCUCAUCAGUAACUUAAAUCCAGGGGCAUUUAUCUGUGUAUGAUUGACGCUAUCAAGCUUUUUUGUCCAACUCAUUGAUGAGACAGGAAGUAUGGAAAAUAACAAAUCUGUAAACUAUAAAGAGCAGAAACCUGUUGAUAAUGUCAACCUGCUUUGUUAAUUCAAAAUCACUCAUAAUGUGUCUAUGAUGAUUUAUUAAUAAUGUGCAAUAAUAAUAUAGAUCAAACUUG